rnacentral:rRNA from 1 species
CCUACGGGUGGCUGCAGUCGAGAAUCUUCCGCAAUGGGCGAAAGCCUGACGGAGCGAUGCCGCGUGCGGGAUGAAGGCCUUCGGGUUGUAAACCGCUGUCAGUGGGGUGGAAAUUAGUUGGGGUUCUCCCCAGCUAUUGACCUAACCGCAGAGGAAGUCCGGGCUAAGUACGUGCCAGCAGCCGCGGUAAUACGUACCGGACGAACGUUAUUCGGAAUCACUGGGCUUAAAGAGUGCGUAGGCGGCCCAGCAGGUGAGGUGUGAAAUCCCACGGCUCAACCGUGGAAUUGCGCUUCAAACCGCUGGGCUUGAGGGAGACAGGGGUGAGUGGAACUGAUGGUGGAGCGGUGAAAUGCGUUGAUAUCAUCAGGAACACCAGUGGCGAAGGCGACUCACUGGGUCUCUACUGACGCUGAGGCACGAAAGCUAGGGGAGCAAACGGGAUUAGAUACCCUAGUAGUC